AUUCGUAGUCAAUCUAACCUAUGGACGAGGAUAACCUCGGGAAACUGAGAAUAAUACUCGAUAGAUCAUUAUGCCUGGAACGGUUUAUGGUUCAAAUGAAUUUCGCCAUAGGAUGGGACUGCGGUCUAUCAGCUUGUUGGUAAGGUAAUGGCCCACCAAGGCUAUUACAGAUACGGGCUCUGAGAGGAGAAGCCCGGAGAUGGGUACUGAGACACGGACCCAGGCCCUAUGGGGCGCAGCAGGCGAGGAAACUUUGCAAUGUGCGAAAGCACGACAAGGUUAAUCCGAGUGAUUCCUGCUAAAGGAAUCUUUUGUUUGUCAUAAUAUCACUAAUGAAUAAGGGGUGGGCAAGUUCUGGUGUCAGCCGCCGCGGUAAAACCAGCACCUCAAGUGGUCAGGAUGAUUAUUGGGCCUAAAGCAUCCGUAGCCGGCUUUGUAAGUUUUCGGUUAAAUCUAUAUGCUCAACAUAUAGGCUGCCGGGAAUACUGCAAAGCUAGGGAGUGGGAGAGGUAGACGGUACUCCGUAGGAAGGGGUAAAAUCCUUUGAUCUAUGGAUGACCACCUGUGGCGAAGGCGGUCUACCAGAACACGUUCGACGGUGAGGGAUGAAAGCUGGGGGAGCAAACCGGAUUAGAUACCCGGGUAGUCCCAGCUGUAAACUAUGCAAACUCAGUGAUGCAUUGGCUUGUGGCCAGUGCAGUGCCGCAGAGAAGUCGUUAAGUUUGCCGCCUGGGAAGUACGUACGCAAGUAUGAAACUUAAAGGAAUUGGCGGGGGAGCACCACAAGGGGUGAAGCCUGCGGUUC
rnacentral:rRNA from 1 species